AUUGAACGCUGGCGGCAUGCUUUACACAUGCAAGUCGAACGGCAGCACGGGUGCUUGCACCUGGUGGCGAGUGGCGGACGGGUGAGUAAUACAUCGGAACGUGUCCUGAAGUGGGGGGAUAACGCAUCGAAAGAUGUGCUAAUACCGCAUAUACUCUGAGGAGUAAAGUAGGGGAUCGAAAGACCUUAUGCUUUUGGAGCGGCCGAUGUCUGAUUAGCUAGUUGGUGGGGUAAUUGCCCACCAAGGCGACGAUCAGUAGUUGGUCUGAGAGGACGACCAGCCACACUGGGACUGAGACACGGCCCAGACUCCUACGGGAGGCAGCAGUGGGGAAUUUUGGACAAUGGGCGCAAGCCUGAUCCAGCAAUGCCGCGUGAGUGAAGAAGGCC
rnacentral:rRNA from 1 species